CCGGGUUGCGGACAGUGUCUGGUGGGUAGUUUGACUGGGGCGGUCUCCUCCUAAAGAGUAACGGAGGAGCACGAAGGUUAGCUAAUCCUGGUCGGACAUCAGGAGGUUAGUGCAAAGGCAUAAGCUAGCUUGACUGCGAGAGUGACGGCUCGAGCAGGUGCGAAAGCAGGUCUUAGUGAUCCGGUGGUUCUGAAUGGAAGGGCCAUCGCUCAACGGAUAAAAGGUACUCCGGGGAUAACAGGCUGAUACCGCCCAAGAGUUCAUAUCGACGGCGGUGUUUGGCACCUCGAUGUCGGCUCAUCACAUCCUGGGGCUGAAGUAGGUCCCAAGGGUAUGGCUGUUCGCCAUUUAAAGUGGUACGCGAGCUGGGUUUAGAACGUCGUGAGACAGUUCGGUCCCUAUCUGCCGUGGGCGCUGGAGAAUUGAGGGGGGCUGCUCCUAGUACGAGAGGACCGGAGUGGACGCAUCACUGGUGUUCGGGUUGUCAUGCCAAUGGCAUUGCCCGGUAGCUAAAUGCGGAA
rnacentral:rRNA from 1 species